UUCUAUGACACUUGCUCUGUCCUUCUCACACUCACACCUUCUCCCAUCCUGCCCCGUGUACUUCCACCAGAUCUACACAACUGGAACAUCAGGUAUCAGGAAAAAAUUCUUCCCUAGCUGUCUCCAUUUCAGUUCUAGGGAAGUCAGUUGGACUCAGAGGUCAUUACCACUCCAGGAGCACCAGAAUGCAAAAAAACCAAGGGCUGGGUCUUUGAGGAGCAACAUUGGAACAACUGAUGGUGCUACCCAGGGAACAGCUCAGCAAACUG